rnacentral:pre_miRNA from 1 species
UAGGACAGCGUUUGGCACAUGACAAGCACUCAAAAUAGCACUGAUCAGUUAUUGAGCGCUUAAUGUGUGCCAGGCCCUGUUUUAA